AAAAAUAUCUCCAGUCAGGAGAGGGCUAACUGUUGCCUGAAGAAGGGGAAA
ncrna:Citrobacter freundii str. ballerup 7851/39 algC RNA